GUUGGCAAGUAGCACAAAGGCUUUCAAUAGCUAGUUGUCACACCCAAAUGCAAAGCAUCAGCUCUCCUGGGUCCGUGGGUUCAGCAGAGAGGAACAGGGCUGACAGAAAUGGAGAGGUGGGGGAGAAGUGGAAGCGUGGAGGAGUCCUGCCUUCCCCACAUACCAACCGCAGACCCCCGCAAGAAGCCCCUUCUCAGGGAGGGGCUUCUGCCUGCAGUGGUUUUCCCCCAAGCCAUACGAGCAGCCCUACCUUGCUGGCCCCGGCCCGAGCCCAUUCUCACUUCUGGGUGGGGUGUGAUUUCAUCAAGCGGCAGGAGCUUGUCAGCGCCGGUGCUGCCUGUGAUCAGAUGCACAGAUGUUCGAAACUCAGAAAGCUCUUGUGCACUGAACUUUCAUCACGAUUCUGGGUGCUGUGGAGAGAGCUGUGAACAAGAGGCAAAGCACCCAGCUCCCUCAUCGAGUGGGUCAGAUGGAAAGUCAACAGGAUGCUGGAGAGAGGAUGCACCUGAUGGGUACGUGCUGCUCCAGAUUAUUACAAGAUAUUGAACAUAUUUCUCUGGGCUAUAUAGUAGGAUUUUGUUGUUUAUCUAUUUUACAUACAACAGUGUGUAUCUGUUAAUCCCAAAUUCCUAAUUUACCCCUCUAUUCCCCCCCCUUUGGUACCCAUAAGUUUGUUUUUUUGUGUCUGUGAAUCUGUUUCUGUUUCAUAAAUAAAACAGAAUCAUUGUAUCAAUUUUUUGUAUCAUUUUUUUAAAAG
rnacentral:lncRNA from 1 species